rnacentral:rRNA from 1 species
GGGUCCGGACACACUGAGGAUUGACAGGCAAUAUUAAUACGUGUUUCGGCGCGUAUUAUGUUAAAUAUGCUAGUCCUUUCAUGAUUAUGUGAUAGGUGGUGCAUGGCCGUUCUUAGUUCGUGGAGUGAUCUGUCUGCUUAAUUGCGUUUCACUAAGAGUCUAUCAAUACGUGCGUUGCGGCACUUUGACCCCUCUCUGGGCGUGCGUCUUAGUUGCUUAGCUCGCACAAUUAGGCUCUGAAAGCAACGAACGUGACCGCAACCUCUUGUUGCCUUUAUACCAAACAUUUUUGCUGUUCUCAGCAUUAAUGCAAAAAGGCUUUUUAAACUAGAGGGACCGCUGUUACUUUCUUAAACCAGAGGAAGGUUGCGGCAAUAACAGGUCUGUGAUGCCCUUAGAUGUUCCGGGCUGCACACGUGCUACAAUGAUUGUUGCAGUGAGCAUCUCAUUUUUACACACCGCAUGCGCGAGUCCGUUUAUUCACUUCGGUGUUUUAAACGUGUAUUUCUGCGCGCGGUAAAGCCUGCUUCGAGAGUAAGUGGGU